AUUGAACGCUGGCGGCAGGCUUAACACAUGCAAGUCGAACGGUAACAUCAAGGAGCUUGCUUCUUUGAUGACUAGUGGCGGACGGGUGAGUAUUGCUUUGGAAUCUAGCUUAUGGAGGGGGAUAACUACGGGAAACUUUAUCUAAUACCGCGUAGAAUCGGGAGUUGAAAGUGUGGGCCCUUCGGGCCACAUGCCAUAGGUUGAGCACAAGUGGGAUUAGGUAGUUGGUGAGGUAAAGGCUCACCAAGCCGACGAUCUCUAACUGGUCUGAGAGGAAGACAAGCCACACUGGGACUGAGAAAAGGCCCAGACUCCUACGGGAGGAAGCAGUGGGGAAUAUUGCGCAAUGGGGGAAAGACGGACGCAGCCAAGCCGCGUGAAUGAAGAAGGACUUAGGGUUGGAAAGUGAUUUAGGUAGCGAGGAAGGAAUUUAGUUUAACAGACGAGGUGAUUGACGGUAACUACAGAAGAAGCACCGGCUAACUCCGUG
rnacentral:rRNA from 1 species